UACGGGGGGGGCAAGCGUUGUUCGGAAUUACUGGGCGUAAAGGGCUCGUAGGCGGCCAACUAAGUCAGACGUGAAAUCCCUCGGCUUAACCGGGGAACUGCGUGUGAUACUGGAUGGCUUGAAUUCGGGAGAGGGAUGCAGAAUUCCAGGUGUAGCGGUGAAAUGCGUAGAUAUCUGGAGGAAUACCGGUGGCGAAGGCGGCAUCCUGGACCGACAUUGACGCUGAGGAGCGAAAGCUAGGGGAGCAAACGGG
rnacentral:rRNA from 1 species